GUAGGGAAUAUUGGACAAUGGGGGCAACCCUGAUCCAGCGACGCCGCGUGAGUGAAGAAGGCCUUCGGGUUGUAAAGCUCUUUCGGCAGGAACGAAACGGUGAGCUCUAACAUAGCUCGCUAAUGACGGUACCUGAAGAAGAAGCACCGGCUAACUACGUGCCAGCAGCCGCGGUAAUACGUAGGGUGCGAGCGUUAAUCGGAAUUACUGGGCGUAAAGCGUGCGCAGGCGGUUGUGUAAGACAGGUGUGAAAUCCCCGGGCUUAACCUGGGAACUGCGCUUGUGACUGCACGGCUAGAGUAUGGCAGAGGGGGGUGGAAUUCCACGUGUAGCAGUGAAAUGCGUAGAGAUGUGGAGGAACACCGAUGGCGAAGGCAGCCCCCUGGGCCAAUACUGACGCUCAUGCACGAAAGCGUGGGGAGCAAACAGGAUUAGAUACCCUGGUAGUCC
rnacentral:rRNA from 1 species